rnacentral:rRNA from 1 species
UGCAAGUCGAACGGCAGCACGGGUGCUUGCACCUGGUGGCGAGUGGCGAACGGGUGAGUAAUACAUCGGAACAUGUCCUGUAGUGGGGGAUAGCCCGGCGAAAGCCGGAUUAAUACCGCAUACGAUCCACGGAUGAAAGCGGGGGACCUUCGGGCCUCGCGCUAUAGGGUUGGCCGAUGGCUGAUUAGCUAGUUGGUGGGGUAAAGGCCCACCAAGGCGACGAUCAGUAGCUGGUCUGAGAGGACGACCAGCCACACUGGGACUGAGACACGGCCCAGACUCCUACGGGAGGCAGCAGUGGGGAAUUUUGGACAAUGGGCGAAAGCCUGAUCCAGCAAUGCCGCGUGUGUGAAGAAGGCCUUCGGGUUGUAAAGCACUUUUGUCCGGAAAGAAAUCCUGAGGGCUAAUAUCCUUCGGGGAUGACGGUACCGGAAGAAUAAGCACCGGCUAACUACGUGCCAGCAGCCGCGGUAAUACGUAGGGUGCGAGCGUUAAUCGGAAUUACUGGGCGUAAAGCGUGCGCA